rnacentral:rRNA from 1 species
UACGUGGGGGGCAAGCGUUGUUCGGAAUUACUGGGCGUAAAGGGCUCGUAGGCGGCCAACUAAGUCAUACGUGAAAUCCCUCGGCUUAACCGGGGAACUGCGUCUGAUACUGGAUGGCUUGAGAUUGGGAGAGGGAUGCGGAAUUCCAGGUGUAGCGGUGAAAUGCGUAGAUAUCUGGAGGAACACCGGUGGCGAAGGCGGUUCUCUGGGAAUGUUCUGACGCUGAGGAGCGAAAGUGUGGGGAGCGAACAGG